rnacentral:tRNA from 1 species
CCAGCCGUGGCCUACUGGUUAGUGCUUUGGACUUGUAACCGAAGGUUGCCGGUUCAAACCCUGACCAGUAGGA